CCUACCUUCGAGUUCGGGAUAGCCCUGAGAAAUCAGGAUUAAUACCGGAUGGUGUCAUCCCCAGGCAUCUUGGGAUGAACAAAGGCGCAAGCCGCUCGAUGACGGGCUCGCGGCCUAUUAGCUUGUUGGUGGGGUGAUGGCCUACCAAGGCGAAGAUGGGUAGCUGGUCUGAGAGGACGAUCAGCCACACUGGGACUGAGACACGGCCCAG
rnacentral:rRNA from 1 species